UUUCAUUGUUGUGAAUUCCAGUGGGCCCUUCUGAUCCUUUUUGUUGGACCAGCAGCUGAGAGACGAAGAGGAUAGUGACUGAGAGA
ensembl:snoRNA SNORD62 Small nucleolar RNA SNORD62